rnacentral:lncRNA from 1 species
AGAUGAUACAGGGGAAUCUAAUCCAUUGGACCUGUCUGUCCUCAGUUACCAUAUACCUAUAGUCCCUCAUCCAUCUAAUAUCCCAAAGAUCAUAUAUUGGGUAUAGUGCUAUCAGACCCAUAUGAUUUCUUCUCGAGUCUCGCUCUAAUCAGAUUCUCCCGGAUAACUCUUUCUCUCUCAAUCGAAUGACUCUGGCCAGGGAUUUAUCUGAGUAAGAACACAUAGGAUAUUCCUCUCAUGAUGUCGAGAGUGGAUGAUCCUCUAUCGACACUCAAUAACCCUCGU